rnacentral:rRNA from 1 species
UGGUCAAGUUAUUAAGGGUGCAGGGCGGAUGCCUUGGCACUAGGAGCCGAUGAAGGACGUGAUAAGCUGCGAUAAGCUUCGGGGAGUUGCACGUAAACUUUGAUCCGAAGAUUUCCGAAUGAGGAAACUCACUUAGAGUAAUGUCUAAGUAUCAUUAAGUGAAUACAUAGUUUAAUGAGGGGAACUCAGGGAACUGAAACAUCUAAGUACCUGAAGGAAGAGAAAGAAAUUCGAUUCCGUAAGUAGCGGCGAGCGAACGCGGAUUAGCCCAAACCAAUAAAGUUUUCUUUAUUGGGGUUGAGGACAUAUCAUAACGAAGAG